rnacentral:rRNA from 1 species
GAUGAACGCUAGCGGGAGGCCUAACACAUGCAAGCCGAGCGGUAUUUGUUCUUCGGAACAGAGAGAGCGGCGUACGGGUGCGGAACACGUGUGCAACCUACCUUUAUCAGGGGGAUAGCCUUUCGAAAGGAAGAUUAAUACCCCAUAAUAUAUUGACUGGCAUCAGUUGGUAUUGAAAACUCCGGUGGAUAGAGAUGGGCACGCGCAAGAUUAGAUAGUUGGUAGGGUAACGGCCUACCAAGUCAGUGAUCUUUAGGGGGCCUGAGAGGGUGAUCCCCCACACUGGUACUGAGACACGGACCAGACUCCUACGGGAGGCAGCAGUGAGGAAUAUUGGACAAUGGGUGAGAGCCUGAUCCAGCCAUCCCGCGUGAAGGACGACGGUUCUAUGGAUUGUAAACUUCUUUUAUACUGGGAUAAACCUACCCUCGUGAGGGUAGCUGAAGGUACAGUAUGAAUAAGCACCGGCUAACUCCGUGCCAGCAGCCGCGGUAAUACGGAGGGUGCAAGCGUUAUCCGGAUUUAUUGGGUUUAAAGGGUCCGUAGGCGGAUCUGUAAGUCAGUGGUGAAAUCUCAUAGCUUAACUAUGAAACUGCCAUUGAUACUGCAGGUCUUGAGUAAAGUAGAAGUGGCUGGAAUAAGUAGUGUAGCGGUGAAAUGCAUAGAUAUUACUUAGAACACCAAUUGCGAAGGCAGGUCACUAUGUUUUAACUGACGCUGAUGGACGAAAGCGUGGGGAGCGAACAGGAUUAGAUACCCUGGUAGUCCACGCCGUAAACGAUGCUAACUCGUUUUUGGGUCUUCGGAUUCAGAGACUAAGCGAAAGUGAUAAGUUAGCCACCUGGGGAGUACGUUCGCAAGAAUGAAACUCAAAGGAAUUGACGGGGGCCCGCACAAGCGGUGGAUUAUGUGGUUUAAUUCGAUGAUACGCGAGGAACCUUACCAAGGCUUAAAUGGGAGUUGACAGGUUUAGAAAUAGACUUUUCUUCGGACAAUUUUCAAGGUGCUGCAUGGUUGUCGUCAGCUCGUGCCGUGAGGUGUUAGGUUAAGUCCUGCAACGAGCGCAACCCCUGUCACUAGUUGCCAUCAUUCAGUUGGGGACUCUAGUGAGACUGCCUACGCAAGUAGAGAGGAAGGUGGGGAUGACGUCAAAUCAUCACGGCCCUUACGCCUUGGGCCACACACGUAAUACAAUGGCCAGUACAGAGGGCAGCUACCAGGCGACUGGAUGCGAAUCUCGAAAGCUGGUCUCAGUUCGGAUUGGAGUCUGCAACUCGACUCUAUGAAGCUGGAAUCGCUAGUAAUCGCGCAUCAGCCAUGGCGCGGUGAAUACGUUCCCGGGCCU